rnacentral:lncRNA from 10 species
UUAUUUAGAACUAGAAGGAAUAAGUGGAAAUCAGGAGAAAUAUUAAAGACAUUCCAGUGUCACUGAGCAUGCCGAAACCUGAAAACAUGUGGAACCCUACUCAACAAUACGAAGCAGCAGACUACCGCUACACACCACCAAGAAUAUUAUAUUAAAUGAAAGAAGCCAGACAGAAAAGAAAAUGUGCUGUAUGCUUCCGUUCAUAUAAAAUUCUAGAGUUAGCAAGCCGAAGUUAUAAUGAUGGAAAUUAGGGGAUCAAUUUCCUUUGGGGACUGACCUGAAAGAAGCAUAAGGGAGCUUUUUAGGAUCAUGAAAAUGUUUUAUACCUUGGAUGAGCUGGC